UGAAGCUGGAAUCGCUAGUAAUCGUAGAUCAGCAUGCUACGGUGAAUACGUUCCCGGGUCUUGUACACACCGCCCGUCACACCACGAGAGUUUGUAACACCCGAAGCCGGUGGAGUAACCAUUUGGAGCUAGCCGUCGAAGGUGGGACAAAUGAUUGGGGUGAAGUCGUAACAAGGUAGCCGUAUCGGAAGGUGCGGCUGGAUCACCUCCUUUCUAAGGA
rnacentral:rRNA from 3 species